rnacentral:rRNA from 1 species
CCUACGGGUGGCAGCAGUGAGGAAUAUUGGUCAAUGGGCGGAAGCCUGAACCAGCCAAGUCGCGUGAGGGAUUAAGGCCCUGCGGGUCGUAAACCUCUUUUGCCGGGGAGCAGUGGUCCGGACGAGUCCGGGCCGGGAGAGUACCCGGAGAAAAAGCAUCGGCUAACUCCGUGCCAGCAGCCGCGGUAAUACGGAGGAUGCGAGCGUUAUCCGGAUUUAUUGGGUUUAAAGGGUGCGUAGGCGGGCAUUUAAGCCGGCGGUCAAAUGUCGGGGCUCAACCCCGGCCUGCCGUCGGAACUGGGUGCCUUGAGUGGGCGAGAAGUAUGCGGAAUGCGUGGUGGAGCGGUGAAAUGCAUAGAUAUCACGCAGAACCCCGAUUGCGAAGGCAGCAUACCGGCGCCCGACUGACGCUGAGGCACGAAAGUGCGGGUAUCGAACAGGAUUAGAUACCCCAGUAGUC